rnacentral:rRNA from 1 species
UACGUAGGGUGCAAGCGUUAUCCGGAAUUAUUGGGCGUAAAGAGCUCGUAGGCGGUCUGUCGCGUCGGCUGUGAAAACCCGAGGCUCAACCUCGGGCCUGCAGUCGAUACGGGCAAACUAGAGUACUGCAGGGGAGACUGGAAUUCCUGGUGUAGCGGUGAAAUGCGCAGAUAUCAGGAGGAACACCGGUGGCGAAGGCGGGUCUCUGGGCAGUAACUGACGCUGAGGAGCGAAAGCGUGGGGAGCGAACAGG